rnacentral:telomerase_RNA from 1 species
CAUAAUCUUUUUUCUAUAUUUCAGCCUGAUUAACAUCAUAGCUCAAUGAUAAGGAUUGGUGAGACAACAGAGAUGAAAAACUCGAACUUUUCAGUGGAUAUUGAUGACAUUGAAUAAGAGAACUUGCAAAAAGUUUCAAUUUAGUUAACCUAUAACCAAAACACUUUCACUUUCCAGAUUCAAUAAGUACAGUGGUAAGUAAAACCCACGUAAGGCUUUUUUAAGCACUCUAUGAACAGCAUUAUCGAAUUUACAAGGUAAUCAAAUUUCAAAUGAAGUACUCACACACAGAUGCAAUUCUAGAAACAAUAAUAUAUUACAUAGAAGAAAGGCAAUUUGUGGGUUUUGCUGUGAUCGAUGAAUGAACGUGACAAAAAGAAGAAGGCAAUUUAUCAUUAGAGAGAUUGAGAUUAACUCACGCUAGAGCUUGCUCCAGCAAAAGACGCCGAGACACAGAGAGUUCACCAAAGGGUCGAGAAGACGAGAGAGACAUCAUAACGACGUCGUUUAGUCUUGCUAUUAAACCCUAAUUAAUUGACAAUUAAAUAAAUAGCGUGAAAACAUAAAAAGUUUAUUCGGACGACAACUAAACCCUACACUACACCAGAGCCCAAAAAAUCGCGCCUUUCAGGAUUUUGUCCGGCGAAUAA